CACACUGAUAAACAACAAACAGCAGCACAGAGUUGGAUUGAUUUUACAGAGGAUUUAAAAGAAUUUAUAAACUACAGACCAGAAAGUGACAGCAAUCAAUCAGAAAUGGAACUUCUGAAAACCGCCCUCGUCAUCGCCCUUCUUACAACAACAUCUGCUAAGCCAAUGGCUUUCAGAAGGCAUCAUGAUGCCGAUAUUCCCGACCACAAAAUGCAACAUUACCACCACAGAUUCACUGGGGAUGCUUUCAACUCCAUGAGCUCCAGCGAGUCUUCAGAAAGUCAAUCAUCUGAGGAGGGGGGGUUGUCCUCUGAGGAGAUUAUCGAUCCCGAAGUGACCACGCCAGUCACGACCUCUACUGCGAUGACAACUGUUGAAGAGGGGAGUACAGUCCCUCCUGAAGUAAGCACAAUGGGUACUGACCAACCGAUUGUGAUGAAGACGACGCCCCUUCCAGCAACGCCAACCCCAUCUGUCAAUGCCACACCAACAUGCGAUCAGUGCUUUACGGUGCUGAUUCCAACAGCAGCUCCCAUUACUGACAACAGAGGAGACAACUGAGCAACAGUCAGACAACAAGAGCCAUAUUGUUGAACAAAUGUUUGACUUUAGUGAGCCACCUGUGGACACUUUCUAUCCAAUUUAGAAAAAAUAAAGUCUUCAUAUUUUUUCCCAGUUUGCUUUUUUAUAAAUUCUUUUGCUUGUAUUUAAAAAUGGCUUUAAAAAAGAAGUGCUUAUGCACUGGUUUGAUGGGUAUCGGAUCAUCACAAUCAGAACUCUGCUUUGCAUGUUGCAGUAACUUGGAAAGACAGCAAUAAAACGUUGGUUUACACUGAGAAACAUUGGACAUAUACAAUAAAAUCAGAUUCUUUAAAACGUGUACAGAAUGAGAAGUUCCAAUAGGAUGCUGAAUUAUUUUGAAUCCAUUUUUUUCCCCUUAAAGAAGUAACAGAGGUUGUGUUACCUUUUAACUCCCCCUUUUUAGCAUGCAAUCAGCAGAAUUAAGGGACAUCUUACAUUUCAAAUUUAGAAGUCAAAAUAACAGGGCAGAGAAUGUGAUGGGAUAAUGAUAAGGCAAUACUUUCUUAAAGCCAAUUUUAAAUUAACAUUAGAGACAUUGCAGAGUUACAAAAAGCAAAGUGUGUGAAGUCUGGUUCAAAUGGAUGAUU